rnacentral:rRNA from 1 species
UACGAAGGGGGCUAGCGUUGCUCGGAAUCACUGGGCGUAAGCGCACGCAGGCGGACUCUUAAGUCGGUGGUGAAAUCCUGGAGCUCAACUCCAGAACUGCCUUCGAUACUGAGAGUCUCGAGUCCGGGAGAGGUGAGUGGAACUGCGAGUGUAGAGGUGAAAUUCGUAGAUAUUCGCAAGAACACCAGUGGCGAAGGCGGCUCACUGGCCCGGUACUGACGCUGAGGUGCGAAAGCGUGGGGAGCAAACAGG